UUUUUUUUUGAAAAAGGAAGGGCUUAUGGCGUUUUGAAGAACUGACAGGGGGAAGUUUUUGCAAUUAUUAUGCAAAUGUCGAUGAAAUCAAUUCAAGUUGAAGGAAAACCCGAAAAGAAUUUGGGAUUUCAGAUUUAGUUCUAGCGAUUGAAUCGUGUAAAGUAGAUAUUUUCACAUAAACGCAAAAGAUCAGAUAUGGAACUCAUUAGCUAAAUCCAGUGGAAUGCCUAUAUAACUCCUAUAACAAAACUCAAUUCGGUAGAGGUACCAUGAUCAUUUAAUAUAGAUUGUUUAAUAUAGAACUAUAACUUUUCCUUUCAAUAUAUUAAUCCAUCAAUUAGCAUUUUUGUGAUAUUCUUUUUUCAUAUAUUCAUUUAUAUAUUCCGUUCUUUCUUUCUGUUAAAUUUCCUUUAUAAUCUAAUUAUUUUUAUGUUAUUCUUAGAAUAAUAUUUUUGUUAUUUUUACUGUUAUUCUAAUCCUUCUUUUGUUUAGCCAUGAGUAAACAAUGGCUUAGAUUUAGUUAUCAUCUUGAUAGCUAAACACUGGCUCAAGUUUGACUAUCAUUCUGACUAAAAAUUAGCCUGACUUAGCUAUCAUUUACAGCAAAUAUCUACCUUGCUUCCUAUCUAUGUUGUUUUUUAAUAAAACACUGAUAUCUUAUCUAAUAAGAAUACGAUUUCUUACUCAAGUUUAAUUGGAAGGUUUGAGGUUACAAAUGCCAUAGAUAACUUUGAAGAGUGUCUGACUGUGCGUGGUUUGUUAGUUUAACUAAGGAUUUGUUUUAUUUUAUAUUUGGUAAGUAGGAUGACAAACUUACAUUUAACCUUAAUGAAUAAGCAUAUGUUUUAUGUUAUAUCAUUCAUGCUGUAUUUAUCAAAAGUUAUAUAGAUUUUGGUGAUUAAUACACUUUUGCAUCUAACAUUUGAAAUGCAGAUAAUUAAGAAACUAAUACCUAAGUUCUAUAGUAGUUAUUAAAGUAUCUUGCAUGUGUAUUGUCAUCAUCGAAUUUAAUUAAGCCACAAUAGCAAAUAAAAAAAUUAAACCGUUGUUGACAGAAAAUGUUUUUUAUUUUUUCCUUUUGAAUGGCUAUUAUGUUGAAUUAAAUCUGUCUAUUCCAAUUGUUAGGUAAGCAUCUCUUCAAUCCAUUUACUUUGUGCAUUUCAUGAAUUUUAUAGAGAUUUUUAUAUUGAUUUUGAUUAUGAAAUAUGUCCCGCUUUUUAGAACUAUUUGUAACUUAUUAUUUUAAAUGAAAAUGUACUUGUCUCUCCUUACGUAUCAAUUAAAAUGUAAACUCUUUUCAUAAUUGUUGAAAUUAUUACACAUUUUAUUUUCAUUUCUUUCUUUCAAAUGAUAGAAGUUAGUAUACUUCAACUGUUAUGCAAUGCGUUUGUUUAUGACAACCUUUCCUUACUUUCAAACCAUACACAGUGAUGUUAAUGCUCUUAUGAUAAUAUGGACUAUAGAUUUGUUAAAAAAAAAAGAUUUUUCUAUAACUGCCAUGUGUUUUUAAAUCUAUAGUUGACUUUGACGCUUAAUUAUUUAGAAAGAGAUAUGUACAUGUUAUUGUCAAAUCCCAUAUUUUAAAGUUUCAUUUCAAUCGAAUACUAAUUCUUAUAAAUACUGAUUCUGCCUUUGCAAAAAUUAUCUGAUAUCUAACAACAAUGAAACCAAGUGCUUCUCUACAAGUAAUGAAUUCCUUAUAUAGAACUAUAUUGGAAUAAAUUUGUAAUCUUUAAAAUUUUUGACAACAUAUAGAUUAGUUUUUUUUACCUGACACCAAAUAAUACUAUGGUCCAUGUUAUGCUAAAUUGUUGUUUUUGCAUAUCCUUUUGGUUAGUCCUUCUAUUCUGUUAAUGUUUUUCUUUAGGAAACUUAUUUGUUUUGAUUUCAG